GGACCCGUAGUGUAAUUGGAUGCACUUCCCAUAUACAUUUGCCGACUUUUAAUCGGGGCAGUAUAGGUUCGACUCCUAUCGGGGCCG